rfam:Ictidomys tridecemlineatus contig099973, whole genome shotgun sequence.
GGGGUUGUGGCUCAGUGGUAGAGCGCUUGCCUAGCACAUUGCAAGACGCUAAGUUUGAUCCUCAGCACCA